AAAGAUAAAAAUUGUUUUUUUCGUUUCUUUUUUUAUUUUAGCACCUAAAAUUUGGGGCUUUCGCGCAUUUAAGAAAAGAAACAAAAAACCGCGAUAAGCCUCCAAAUGGAGGCUUUUUUGUU
rnacentral:ncRNA from 1 species